rnacentral:lncRNA from 1 species
UCUAGUUCUCCAGAUCAGCUCAAGUUGAGUAAUAGAAUAACCGUUUGAUGAAAAACACUCAUUAUAUGUACAUAUGUUUGUUUAUGAGAAAAUAAAAAGCGACGAGUCUAUUGAAGAACGUUUUCCCCUAGGUGUGAUGAAUAUAAGAAACUAACAUUGAUUUUGACAUAAUGAAUAAAUUAACAUUUAACAACAUUUUGAACCGGUUAUGCCCUCAGUUGUAAUAAGUAUCCGGUUACAUUUAAGAAGAGUGGAUGACAUCAAUGUUUUGUGAUGGACAUAAAUGAAUGCCUGCUAUUUAAUAUUACAUGUAAAUAUAAAGAAACCAACGUUACAACAUUAUUUACCACAUAUAUACUUAAUCACUGUAGUAGUAAAGUGAAUAGAAAUAGAAGAAUUUUCAAUAAAGUAUUCUACAUCACCAAAAUAGUAUAGAAUCCAAACCUCACUUACAACCUCUAAAUAUCAAACUCAACCCCAACUUCAAAAUACUAAACCCUAAACCAGAAUC